AGAGCUAAUGGGGAAUGCCUUGGUACUGACAGCCGAUGAAGGACGUGUAAAGCUGCGAUAAGCUGCGGGGAACUGCUAAAAGGUCUUGAUCCGCAGAAAUCCGAAUGGGGAAACCCUAUCAAGUUAAAACUUGAUAACUCACAAGUGAAUACAUAGCUUGUGUAGAGGAAAGCCUGUGAACUGAAACAUCUUAGUAACAGGACGAAGAGAAAAUAACCAAAUGAUUCCGAGAGUAGCGGCGAGCGAAAUUGGAAGAGCCUAAAUUGUGUGUACGUGAUAGCCUGCAAGCGUUGUGCACAUGAGGUUGUGGGACUUGCAUCAUAUUUUGCAGAAUAUGGAUUGAGUUAGAAAAUUAUUUAUUAGUUAAAGUCAACUGGGAAGUUGCGCCAUAGAGAGUGAUAGCCUCGUAAACGACAAUAAAUAAUCUCAAGUAAGUAUCCCGAGUAAGGCGGGGCACGUGAAACCCUGUCUGAAUCCACCGGGACCAUCCGGUAAGGCUAAAUACUAGUCAGUGACCGAUAGUGAACGAGUACAGUGAUGGAAAGGCGAAAAGAACAGUGAGAAGCUGAGUGAAAUAGACCCUGAAACCGUUAGCUUACAAUCAGUCAGAGCACUAUGAAUAGUGUGAUGGCGUGCCUGUUGAAGAAUGAGCCGGCGAGUUAAUUUAUGUUGCGAGGUUAAGGAGUUGAUAUCCGGAGCCACAGCGAAAGCGAGUGUGAAAAGCGCGUUAAGUAACAUGAAUUAGACCCGAACCUUGGCGAUCUAACCUUGACCAGGAUGAAGCGUAGGUAACACUACGUGGAGGUCCGAACCAACCGAUGUUGAAAAAUCGGUGGAUGAGUUGAGGUUAGGGGUGAAAUGCCAAUCGAACCAAGAGCUAGCUGGUUCUCCCCGAAAUGCGUUUAGGCACAGCGUUGGAAUUAUCUUACCGGAGGUAGAGCACUAGUCUGGUGCGGGCGGCGAAAUGCCGUACCAAAUCAUGUUAAACUCCGAAUACCGGUAACGUCAUUAUCCAGCAGUGAGGCAGCGAGUGCUAAGAUCCGUUGCCAAGAGGGAAACAGCCCAGAACGCCAGUUAAGGUCCCAAAUAUAUGCUAAGUGGUUAAGGAGGUAGAGUUGCUCAGACAACUAGGAGGUUGGCUUAGAAGCAGCCAUUCCUUGAAAGAGUGCGUAAUAGCUCACUAGUCAAGCGACUCCGCGCCGAAAAUACACCGGGACUAAAGCAUAUAACCGAAACUGCGUCAUAUAGUUUACUAUAUGGGUAGGGGAGCGUACUGCAGUAGGACGAAGUUAGAUCGAGAGGACUAAUGGACGAGGCAGUAGUGAGAAUGUCGGCAUAAGUAGCGAAAACAUUGGUGAGAAUCCAAUGCACCGAAAACCUAAGGUUUCCCACGGCAGGCUCGUCCGCGUGGGGUUAGUCGGAUCCUAAGGUGAGGCCGAAAGGCGUAGCCGAUGGACAUCAGGUUGAUAUUCCUGAACUAUCAUAUAAUCGUUACAAAAGGCGGAGGGACGCAGGAGGAUAAACACGCAGCCGACUGGACGUGGCUGUAAAGAGUUGUAGGUAGAGUUAGUAGGAAAAUCCGCUAAUUCGAUAUAAACUGAGGGCUCGAGUAGGACAUUCUACGGAAUGGAAGGUGUUGACUCCACACUGCCAAGAAAAGCUUCGCACUUGAGAUUAUGGGAUAUCCGUACCGUAAACCGCCACAGGUAGGUUGGUAGAGAAUACUAAGGUGCGCGAGAUAACUCUCGCUAAGGAACUCGGCAAAAUCACCUCGUAACUUCGGGAGAAGAGGUACCCUGGUAGCGUGAAGCGAUUUACUCGUGAAGCGUGAUAGGGUCGCAGUGAAUAGGCCCAAGCGACUGUUUACCAAAAACACAGGUCUCUGCUAAGUCGAUCAAGACGAAGUAUAGGGGCUGACGCCUGCCCGGUGUCGGAAGGUUACGUGGAAGGGUUAGAAGCAAUUCGAAGCUCUGAAACUAAGCCCCGAUGAACGGCGGCCGUAACUAUAACGGUCCUAAGGUAGCGAAAUUCCUUGUCAGGUAAGUUCUGACCCGCACGAAUGGCGUAAUGAUUUGGGCACUGUCUCGACAGCCCGCCCGGCGAAAUUGUAGUACUGGUGAAGAUGCCAGUUACCCGCAACUAGACGGAAAGACCCCAUGGAGCUUUACUGCAGCUUAAUACUGAGAUUCGGUAAAUCAUGUACAGGAUAGGUGGGAGACUGAGAAGCCAGGCCGUCAGGUUUGGUGGAGUCGCCCUUGGGAUACCACCCUUGGUUUGCUGGGUUUCUAACCUGCGGCCCUGAAUCGGGUCGGGGGACACUGUUAGGCGGGCAGUUUGACUGGGGCGGUCGCCUCCUAAAAUGUAACGGAGGCGCUCAAAGGUUGGCUCAGCAUGGAUGGAAACCAUGCAAUGAGUGUAAACGUAUAAGCCAGCCUGACUGCGAGACCGACGGGUCGAGCAGAGACGAAAGUCGGAGUUAGUGAUCCGGUGGUAUGUGAGUGGAAAUGCCAUCGCUCAACGGAUAAAAGCUACCCUGGGGAUAACAGGCUGAUCUCCCCCAAGCGUCCACAGCGACGGGGAGGUUUGGCACCUCGAUGUCGGCUCGUCACAUCCUGGGGCUGAAUUCGGUCCCAAGGGUUCGGCUGUUCGCCGAUUAAAGUGGCACGCGAGCUGGGUUCAGAACGUCGUGAGACAGUUCGGUCCCUAUCUGUUGCGGGCGUAAGAGAUUUGAAGGGAGCUGUCCUUAGUACGAGAGGACCGGGAUGGACGUACCUCUGGUGCACCAGUUGUCCUGCCAAGGGCAUAGCUGGGUAGCUAUGUACGGACGAGAUAAACGCUGAAAGCAUCUAAGCGUGAAACUCCCCCUAAGAUGAGAUCUCUCAUCCUUUA
rnacentral:rRNA from 1 species